UACAGAGGGGGCAAGCGUUGUUCGGAAUUACUGGGCGUAAAGGGCGCGUAGGCGGCUUAACAAGUCACUUGUGAAAUCUCCGGGCUUAACUCGGAACGGCCAAGUGAAACUGUCAAGCUAGAGUGCAGAAGGGGCAAUCGGAAUUCUUGGUGUAGCGGUGAAAUGCGUAGAUAUCAAGAGGAACACCUGAGGUGAAGACGGGUUGCUGGGCUGACACUGACGCUGAGGCGCGAAAGCCAGGGGAGCAAACGGG
rnacentral:rRNA from 1 species